AUAGAUACCACUGCCAUUCAACACAGUCAGAUAGUGACCAGUGUUAGUAAUCAUAAUUGUCUUUCUUACUGUUCUUAAAAAGAGAAUUUUUUCAAAGCAGGAUUGAUUACAUACACAUUCCAGAGGAGAAAAUAUCAGAGGAAAUAAAUUGCCGAACUUCAAAUCCCAAAGAUUUGAAAUUGUACUAUAGUAGAGUGUCUUGGUGACUAUAAAUUCAGAGGUUUCCCAAAUUCACCUUCAGGUUCAAUAAUUCACUAGAAAGAACUCACUGAAAGCUAUUAUAAUCACAUUUAUUCCAGAGAAAGAAUACAAGUUAGAACCAGCCAAAGGAAGAGACACAUAGGGCAGAGUCUAGGAGGGGUCCAAACUCCAGUCGUCCUUUCCAAUUGUCCACUCCCUGUGGAGUCUUAGACAAUGUCAUAUACUCUGGCCACAAUUUAUGAUACUACACGCAAGUACUGCCAAUCGGGAAAGUUCACCCACGCUUUGGUGUUCAGAUUUUUACUGAAGUUUUAUUACUUGGCAUGAUUGAUAGAUUCUUUGCACACAUGGUUGAACUCACUCUCCAGCCCUGACCCUCCCUGGAGAACUAGCUGACAUCAGGCUCUAGGGGCUCAUGUUAGCAUAAAUUAUAAGAUGUGAUUUGAGGAGCCCAAUAUGAAUAACAAAGACACUCCUCUCACUGGGACCUCCUGACGAUAAAGGCCAGAACUCUUUGGGAAAGGCCAAAUUCCUUACACAGUGGCCAUUCGUCUCUCAUACACAUUCUUCUGAACUGAUGAGGAUGACACAAGCAAUGACAAUUGUUUAUGGAGACAUUUAUACAUUGUCAUUUUUAAUUUCAGAAAUUUUGUGAAAUGAUUCUGAACAUGACUCAAGGGCAGAAAAACAAUCAGAUACAGUGCUAAGUAGCAUAUGUAGUAUUUAGUUUUCAGUUCUGAUAUUUAAUUAUAAUUUUAUUAAAUGUUGGAAUACUUAAAAGACAUUUAAAAAUUAAUUUAUAAACUUUUAAUCUAUGCUGUAUAUUAACAUACAAUUUUGAGCUAAUUUUAUUUAUUUAGAAGAUCUAAUUGGCUUUUUUGACGAUUCAUGAAUUGGGCAGCAUCUCAUCUAGUAACUAGAAGGGUGCUUGCUCCCUGAGCUAACUGUAAAUUACCAGUAGCCAUCACUUUAGUUUGGCUCAUAAUAGGCCUUCACUGUUAACUGACAGCUCCACAUUUCCAGUCAUCCUUUAUUGGGGUUAAGUAUCCGCCCUCCAUUGGAUCUAAUCAGGUUUUUUCAUUUAUGCAUUUAUUUACAUUUAUUUAUUUAGGGUUUCUAAUAUGUUAAAAGUAACUUCUUUAAACAGUAAUGAUACUCCUUUGGGAAUAGUUUACCUGAGAUACACACUUUCUUCCUUUUUUAACUUGAACUUACUGAGGAUUUAAAAGAAUAAUGAAUGCUGUUACAGUGUUUUGGGGUAAUCAUCUGAAAAUUCACUCUAAAAAAAUGUACUUUAAAUGUAAAGUAUUUAAAAGGUUUAGUUAAAUGUGUUAAAUCAGACUUCACUUGUAUAUUUUAAACAAAAUCUGUGGAUGUGAGUUUAUGUGUUUAUUCUUUUAAAAAACAUUGUAUAUACAAAAACACAAUUUCUAAUAAUUGAGGGUUUAAGUUUUCUCCUUUAGGCUGAAGUUUUAUUAUGUUCCAUUUUAUUUUAUUUUGCUUGGAUAGUAAAUACAGCAAUUAAAAAUUAUGAUGCUAAGUGCUUUUUCUAAUAUAUGCAAGCUGCUUCAACAGGUUUUUAAAGAUAGCAACAGUAAUAUUUCUUGGAUGCUAAUAGGAUUACAGAAAAUGACAGAGGUGAGUUUAUGUUUCAUUUUACAGCUGUUUCAAAAUACUGCUAUGAAUUCUAAACUUUUAAAAUCUGAAGCUUACUUUGGAUGUUAUAUAUAUAUAAUGCCCCAAAUUUUCAUUACUUUAUAUUUGUCUCCAUUCACCUUAAAGGCCUUUUCGCCGCGCCGCACAGUUUGCGGAAUGUUAGUUUCCUGACCAGGGAUUGAACCUGGGUCUCGGCACUGAAAGCACGGGGUCCUAAGCAUUGGACCACCAGGGAAUUCCCCUGUUUUUGCUUUUAAUAUUUCAUUUUUAUAUUGUUAUUGCCGUUUUAAUGACUUCAAUCAUGCUAUGAUUGUCAGCUUAGUUUUGAAAAAUUCAUGGGUCAUCUCCAUGUACUCACAAAGUAAGCAUUGUUAAAAGACCUUUUUUUUUAAAUUUAAAUUUUCCCUAGCUUCUCAUUUUGAAAAAAUUUUAAAGUAUAUAAAAGUUGAAAUAAUAGUAUACCCAUUUGCCCUCCACCUGAAUUCAACAAUUAACAUUUUGCCAUACUAGCUUUAUCAGGACACUUCUAAAAAUAUGGACAUUUUUCUAAUUAAAUUCAAUCCCAUUAUCACACUUAAGAAAAUUUAAUUUUAUUGUAUCACCUACGUUCAUAUUCAGAUAUUUCCAGUUGUCUCAAAAAAUGACUUUUUACAGGUUUUUUUGGCUUUGAUCCAGGAUUCAGAUGAGGAUCAUACUUUCUAUUUGAUUGUCUCUUUUAGUCUAGAAGAUCCUUCCCUGUACCCCAAUGGCUUUUUUUCCCCAUGAUGUGACUUUUUGAAGAGUGUAAGUCACUUGGCAUCCAUCCAUGAUCUGUCAAUAUCCUUGAUUUGUUCCCUUUAUUCUUUGCAUUUCCUUCAAACUGGAAGUCUGUAGGUUUGAUUAACUUCAGGUUAAAUGUUUUGGGAAAGAAUAUUUCAGAUUAUCUUUUAGGUUUUAUAUUGUAUCACAUUAGAAGACACAUAAUUCUAGAUUGUCUCAUUACUGAUGAUAAUCAUUCAGUCAAGGUGGUGACUAACAGAUCUUUCCAUUGUAAAGGUCAUUUUCUCCCCUUAGUAAUUAGUAUUCUUUAGGGUAGUAUUUUGGCACCAUGGGAAUGUUCUUUUUCCUAUCAGCCUUUCAUUCAAUGGUUUUAGCAUCAACUGAUGAUUCUUAACUGAAUCAUUUAUCACACUGAGGUGCAAAAUAGUGAUUUAAAAUUUUUUAAUUCUCUAAUUUUCUUCUACAUUUAUUAUAUAGUUUCUAUUCCUCUAUUUUAAAAAGACUAUUUUCCCUCCUUUCUUGUUCCCAAAGCCCUUUUUUUUCCCCCAGAUCACUGUCCUUAAUCUUCAAUGUAAACAUUAUAGCUAAUUACAGUCACAGUUUUGUUGUUUUGUUUUGUUUUGUUUUUCUGUUUGUUUUUUUAGCUGCGCCUCAGGGCUUAUGAGAUCUUAGUUCCCUGACCAGGGAUCGAACCCAGGCCCUCAGCAGUGAGAGUGUGGAGUCCUAAACACUGCAUCUCCAGGGAAUUCCCCAGUCACAUUUCCUUUUGAUGUUCAUAUUGUAAGCCAGUAGCCAGUGGAGGUCACUAGAAGCUAGCUUCUGUUCUGUUAGACAUGACCACAUUAGUCUCUGAGGUCCUCCUUGCUUCAGGUACAACAGUAUGUUCCAGACUUGCCUCGUACUUGUCCUGUUCCAAAGCUGGGGAAUAUCAGCUAUUUCUCCAAGGAGCCCUAUCUAUUCCUUUUAGGGGGAAUGGAAUUUGAACUCCAUUUACUUAUGGGCCAUAUAUCAGUGGGCAGAGCUAGGAAAUAACAUUUUUCAGAGUUCAUGAAUUUAAAUCAAUGUUUACAAUUAAAAAUUAGUAUUACAAGCUUUUUUCUUAUUUUAUAUUUGCCUCUCUUUUCUCUUACAGUGAAAAUAUUGGUUCUGAGUAACAUUAGCAUAUUUGCUUAUAUGUUUUAUUAUAUAGCUUAUGUUUCAGCACUACAAUACCAGUAUUACUAAUGGAAAACAUAUUGAAUAAAAUUUGCAGUUCUCUUUGUCCUUAGAAUAGCCCACUGAGAGUACAUGUUCAAAAGUUAACGUAAAUUACUAUUUUCUCUACAUGGUUAUUGCUAUCACUGUGAUAUAACUAGUUUAGUUUGUUUUUGUUUGUAUUCAAUUUCAUAUUUAAUUUAAAAAUUUUAUUGCUUUUGAAUACGUGAAGCAUUUACAUGGUUCAAAGUUAAAACUAUAUAAAAAGUAUACUCAGAUUAGCCAAGCUGCCAUGCCUGUGCCUCCAGCCCAUUCCUAAUCACCUCCUAUAGAUAAUUAUUUUCAUUAGUUGCUAGUUUAUCUUUCCUGUGUUUCUUUUAAAAAAAUAAAGUGUGUACAUUGCUAUAUUUAUUGCGUUUCACCAUGUGGAGUGUGUUCCUUGCUUUUAAAAUUUCUUUUUAUGUUUAGAAAGGGUUUUCUGUUCUAGUGGUUACCUUUUUACUGAUAACAUUUUAUGUAAUGCCAUAAAAGACCUCUUUUUGCUUGUUUAAGCUUCUACUAUUUGCCGUUUUAAAUGUUCUUUGACUCCCAUCUAAUUGCCUUUGUGACAACCAAUGAACUUAUUCUACUCCUUCCAUCUUCUCAUAUUUUUUAGUUGCCUUAUUUCUAUUCGAAAUGUUUUAGAACAUAUAACAUUUACACACUAUUUUUUCAACCUAGUCCCUGCAUUUGUUAUAAAAUUAAAUAUAUUUUAAGUAUAUUUAAUACUCUUCACCAGUACUUUAGCUGAAGGCUCCCCAAUCAACUCUUGGCUGGAUGAAGCUCUUAUAGUAGAGUACUCAAGGAGGGCUUGUAAGUACAAUAUUCCUCAAGUUCUAGCAUGUUUAAAAUUUGUUCUAGAGCCUAGAUACUUUAAGUACAGCUUGAUGAACUAUAAAAUCUUUGGCUCACACUUUGAGUUUUUUUGAAAAUGUUGCUCCAUUGUUGUGUUGCUUGGUGUUAUUGUCAAGAAAUCUGGCACCAUUUGAUUUUUUUUCCCCCUUUGGAAAAAAUAUUAACUUUGUUUGUUGUUUUUUUUUUUCCUGGAGGCCCAGAUAAUUUUUUCCAUGUCAUUUUCUCUUUUUUUCCUUAUAGCUGAUUUAUUCCUCUCCUCCAUGUUCCUUAUUUUCAUGUGUAUCUGUUCUCUCUUAGGAACCCUGUACUUUAGUUUUCAUUUUUUAGAUGAUUUUACUAUUUCAGUAAAUUGCCUGAGUUUGAUCAACUCUCAUCUUCCUAUUGAGUUUUUAACAGUUUGUUACAUUCUUUCACAUCUGCAGUUGCUCAUUUAAUGAUAUUUAAUUCAUAUUGGAGUGAUGUAUAUAGUUUUCCUCUGCUUCAUAUUUUCUAGAGGGUAGUAUUUUCUAUUAAUUUAAAAGUUUUCACUUUCUGUUUUCCUUUUAUAGUAGCCUUUUAUGGGGUUUUGGUGGCUUUUUCUGUCCCUCGUAAAACAAUGUAGGAUUUUCUUGGAUCAGCAAGAACAGAUUGUUCUACAGAAGGAAGGGGUGAAAGAAUGUAGGUGACGGUUUCAUAGUUAAGGAGGCCCUCUUCUGUUUGUAUGGUAAAGUGCAGUUUCUUUAAUAAACGGCACAUUUGGGGGGAUUGGAUUCUGCCAUACAAUCUUGUUUCUUUUGGAAUAUUUACUUCAGCCACUUGCCCUUCUCUCCAAGGGAUUUCUCUCCCUUCCAAAGUGCCUCAUGAAGUGUUCUCAUGAACUUUCCAAAUACUGGUUCUUGCCUGUUUUCAAGCCUGAUUAUUCACCUUCUCAUUAAUUUUGGGAACUUUCAGGAUCCUUCCAAAUCAUUCCAUUUUGCUUAUGUUAGCUAAUGCUAGUUUCUGUUGACUAUAACCAAAGAACCCUAACUGACACAUCAACCUCUUAACGUAAAGUUUGUGAAUCUUCACAACCCCAAAUCACACAGAAAGCCACAAGUAUAUGCACAGUAAGUCUGUUACAAGAGUCAUCUCUUGUUUACUAUUGCAGCUCUUCUAGCACAAUGCCUGGGACACUCUGGACAUUCAGUAUAUGCUAAAUUUCUCUUAUUACCUUUUUUACAACAGCACUUACCACAAUUUGUAAUUAUCUUCAUUUUGUGUUUGUUUUAUAACUCUGUCCCCCAGUAUAAUUAAGCUCUACGUACAUAAAUAUCAUGUCAUCUAUUGAUGUAUCUCCAGUGUCUAGUAAAACUGUGGCAGACACUUACAGGUACUCAAAUUUUUUUUUUUUUUUUUUUGCAGUACACAGGCCUCUCACUGUUGUGGCCUCUCCCGUUGCGGAGCACAGGCUCCAGAUGCGCAGGCUCAGCGGCCAUGGCUCACGGGCCUAGCCACUCCGCGGCAUGUGGGAUCUCCCCGGACCGGGGCACGAACCCAUGACCCCUGCAUCGGCAGGCGGACUCUCAACCACUGCACCACCAGGGAAGCCCUCAAAUAUUUUUUUGAAUGACUAAACAAUAAUCAGUUGUUAAGGAUGAUAAAGCUGGUGCAGCUAGAUGAAGUAUGAUUUUGAAAAAGGUCAGCGUAACCACACAAUAAAUGAUCUUACCAGCC
ensembl:lncRNA